GGCUUCGUGGUGCAGAGGUUAGCACGUCUGUCUCACAACUAUCUGAUGAUAGUUCUACCACAGAAGGUCUCCAGUUCGAUCCUGGACGAAGUCA